AGGUGAGGAGGAGCGGAUAGAGGUGAGGAGGAGCGGAUAGAGGUGAGGAGGAGCGGAUAGAGGUGAGGAACAGAUAGAGGUGAGGAGGAGUGGAUAGAGGUGAGGAACAGAUAGAGGUGAGGAGGAGCGGAUAGAGGUGAGGAGGAGCGGAUAGAGGUGAGGAGGAGCGGAUAGAGGUGAGGAACAGAUAGAGGUGAGGAGGAGCGGAUAGAGGUGAGGAGGAGCGGA